GAGUUUGAUCCUGGCUCAGGAUGAACGCUGGCGGCGUGCUUAACACAUGCAAGUCGAGCGAAGCAUUUAAGACGAUCUCUUCGGAUUGAGUCUUAUAUGACUGAGCGGCGGACGGGUGAGUAACGCGUGGGUAACCUGCCUCAUACAGGGGGAUAACAGUUAGAAAUGACUGCUAAUACCGCAUAAGCGCACAGGGCUGCAUGGCCUGGUGUGAAAAACUCCGGUGGUAUGAGAUGGACCCGCGUCUGAUUAGCUAGUUGGAGGGGUAACGGCCCACCAAGGCGACGAUCAGUAGCCGGCCUGAGAGGGUGAACGGCCACAUUGGGACUGAGACACGGCCCAGACUCCUACGGGAGGCAGCAGUGGGGAAUAUUGCACAAUGGGGGAAACCCUGAUGCAGCGACGCCGCGUGAAGGAAGAAGUAUCUCGGUAUGUAAACUUCUAUCAGCAGGGAAGAAAAUGACGGUACCUGACUAAGAAGCCCCGGCUA
rnacentral:rRNA from 1 species